AAGGUAGCAUAAUCACUUGCCGUUUAAUUGAUGGCUGGAAUGAAUGAAUAUACGAGAGCAAAUCUGUCUCAUUUUAACAAAUAAAAAUUGGCCUUCAGGUGAAGAGACCUGAAUUUUUAAAAAAGACGAAAAGACCCUAUAGAGCUUAACUCCUUUAUUUAAUAUUUAAACACUUGAGUUUAGUUGGGGCAACUAGAGAAAAUCUAAAACUUCUCUUUUAUUUAUCUGAUCCAAACACUAUGAUUAAUAGAAAAAGCUACCUUAGGGAUAACAGGCUAAUCCUGUUUGAGAGAUCAUAUUGACAACAGGGCUUGGCACCUCGAUGUUGGCUCAGGAUUUCAUUCUGAUGCAGCAGUCAGAAACUGAAGGUUUGUUCACCCUUUAAUUUCCUACGUGAUCUGAGUUCAGACCGGA
rnacentral:rRNA from 1 species